GGCAAGUUCGAGUGAACCAGAGUGAGGCCAGGGACUUAAUCCUCACCGAUGACAGAGAGAUGGACAGCAAUUGAAGGAGACCCCGUACUCUACCCUUCCUCCCCGACCCAGCAUCAGUGUCUGCCUAGAGGAAGGAGGAGACAUGCCUUCUCUCCAUUUCCAGGCUCUGUGAAAUAUGUUGCAAGGCCUAUCUGUCUGCAACAGGACAGUCCGAGCAUUGCUUGCCAUUCAGUGCUCAUGCAAAGAAAGUACAAAGACUGAGGAGAGUCAAGGUUGACAUCAGAGUCAAGUGACAAUAUGAUGAUCUCAGAGGAGCUCCUUUGCAGUUUAUGGAGGACCCUGAGCUCAUGUCAGGAGACAUCGACAUUUUAAGAGUUGUUUGUCAGUUCCUGAAGGUACAAUAAAAUUUUUUUGCAGAGAGGUAAAAGCA
ensembl:lncRNA